UACAGAGGGUGCGAGCGUUGUCCGGAAUCACUGGGCGUAAAGGGUGCGUAGGUGGCUUGGUAAGCGUGUGGUGAAAGUCCGGGGCUCAACCCCGGAUCUGCCGUGCGAACUGCCGAGCUUGAGCAUUGUAGAGGCAGGUGGAAUUUCGGGUGUAGCGGUGGAAUGCGUAGAGAUCCGAAAGAACACCAGUGGCGAAGGCGGCCUGCUGGGCAAUUGCUGACACUGAGGCACGGCAGCGUGGGGAGCAAACAGGAUUAGAAACCCUAGUAGU
rnacentral:rRNA from 1 species